rnacentral:misc_RNA from 1 species
CUGGCAUAAAUGUUCUAAAUCCUUCUCCGUCACAAGAUUGACAACAUUAGAUUGUUCUUCAUUCUGCUGUGAUGGGCUGCAAUUUUCAUAUUCUGAAAUGGAUAGUGAGGUUGAUUUUUUGUCUGCAGGAUUAUCAACAUGACAUGGUUCAUCCUUUUUUGAACUGAUCAUGAAUGAGUUACAACAUGAAGCCGAAGCAAAACCCUUUAGUGGAGAUGAAGGCAACGACAAAUCCAAGAAUUUUGAUACAUGAAAAGUUAAUUUGUCUCCUCUAAUG